rnacentral:lncRNA from 1 species
GAAAAUGCUGGGAAAACUGGGAAACACGGGAAAAACACUUGGCCACCACUGAGAGCACACGGCAGAGAUGCCGCAGAAGGCGUGUUAUUAACGCAGAUGAAAGGCCGAGGAGCGAGUUUGCUGUGCUCGUGCAUGCCCAUGGGGGGGCRCUCAGUACGUACGGAGACCCCCAUUCCCAAGAGUCUCGGCUGGAGCGCUGGCUCGUGUCGCGUCCCAACCUUGCGAUGCAAAUGCCCGUGAACCUUCCUGUGAACGCGGCGAUUUGGGCCCCACCGUUAUCUCUGCGCUAAAGCGCCUUGAGCGGCUCCUUGGUGCACGGAGGUAUUUAUACGGCAGCUUUCCCGCUUCCCUGCAAUUCCCGGCUGCUGCUGCCUCCCRGCCAGCUGGCGCCCGAAGCCAGCGUGGCGCAGCAGGUCUUUUAUUUUGGGCAAGCCUCUUUCAGGACAGCCUUCUCCAGGUGGCCCCAAAGGAGGAGACCUUCACAGCACCUGAGCCUGGAGAAGGGGGUUUGCUGCUGGCGCACCGAACCCGCUCCGAAGGGCUUUCGGCCAUCCCGAGCACCCCCGUCCGCCCCAGAGCCRGGAGACGCCGGCUCCUGCUCCCACGCCAGGCUACGGACGCUCGCACGGGGGGUCCUGCCCUGUGGCACCAUCCGGACCAGCAAACGCUGGGGGAGCAAGCGAAGGUGAGCGCAGAGGUGGUUGUACCAGCUCGCUGAUGGACCAGAGGUUURGCCUUAAGGCUUUUUUGUUUAAUUUUGCCCAGGAUCUGAGCUUCCUUCGCAGGAUCACAGCACGGUUGAGGUUGGGAGGGACCCUGGAGAUCAUCUAGUCCAACCCCCCUGCUCGGACAGGGUCAUCUAGCGCACGCUGCCUUCUGCAGCUUGGCCGGGGGAAAAAAAAGCAGUCCCGGGGCUGCAUGCGUACRGCCAAGAGGACUUUUUGGAGGCC